CUCUGAGCUAAAUCCGAAGCCUUUAAUGCACGCCCAGCAAAGGAGUCACAUGAUGGCACUACAAGAAAAAGGUCUGCUGGUGGCUGCCGCAAAUGCUCUAAAUGCAGAUCGAUAAUGCCAGUUUGGACCCAGAGAGCAGAGAGGACAAGAAGGCUGAGUCAGGAGGAGAUCCGGAAAGGCAGUGGUUCGAGAGGAAGGUGUGCAUACAGCUCCUCAGCCUACCUAUCCCCUCAGGCCCACACAAGGAUGCAGGGGCUUGAGGGACUGAAGGAGCAACUAUUACCAGCCCUGGGGUGACACAGUGGCUUCUGAGCACCUGAGAGGUGGCUGAUGUGACCAGAGAACUGAACUUGUCAUUUUCUUAUAUGUUGAUUCACUUAAAUGUCUGCACACUGGAGAAUGGGAGGAAGCCCUGAAGGAUCCACAUAAGACAGUAAACAAACCAGCUAACAGGUGUGAGACUUCUCAGCUUCACCCAGUGACCGCCCGGCACUGUGCUCCCAAAGUCGCUUGGGGUCUGUCCAGUUGCUGGCAGGGCCCCUCCCCGAGACACCCAUCAGCAGCAGGACAUCCCCUCUCUUCAGUGGCCCUGGUGUGCAUUCCCCUGAGGAACCCCGCCCCAGCCGGAGUGACUUAUUAUGGCUGUGCACCGGCCACUGUGCCGGAC
ensembl:lncRNA